rnacentral:tRNA from 1 species
UUGGGGAUGGCUCGAGUGGCUUAAGGCAGCGACCUGAAAAAUCGCAGACGGUAAAACGUCCGUGGGUUCGAAUCCCUCUCCCUCCG